GACGAACGCUGGCGGCGUGCCUAAUACAUGCAAGUCGAGCGAAUCAAUAGGAGCUUGCUCCUGUUGGUUAGCGGCGGACGGGUGAGUAACACGUGGGCAACCUGCCUGUAAGACUGGGAUAACACCGGGAAACCGGUGCUAAUACCGGAUAAUCCUUUUCCUCCCAUGAGGAAAAGAUGAAAGUCGGUUUCGGCUGACACUUGCAGACAGGCCCGCGGCGCAUUAGCUAGUUGGUGGGGUAACGGCUCACCAAGGCGACGAUGCGUAGCCGAUCUGAGAGGGUGAUCGGCCACACUGGGACUGAGACACGGCCCAGACCCCUACGGGAGGCAGCAGUGGGGAAUCUUCCACAACGGACGAAAGUCUGAUGGAGCAACGCCGCGUGAGCGAUGAAGGCCUUCGGGUCGUAAAGCUCUGUUGUUAGGGAAGAACAAGUACCGGAGUAACUGCCGGUACCUUGACGGUACCUAACCAGAAAGCCACGGCUAACUACGUGCCAGCAGCCGCCGUAAGAC
rnacentral:rRNA from 1 species